UUGUCUAAAGGAUGCAUAAAAGCUUAUUAAUGUAUAUUCAUGUUGUCUCUGCUUCAUGCAUAUUGCUAGAUCAAAAAGUUAAGGUUUGUUUAAUCUCAACAGAGAUCAUGUUCAAUAAUUGUUCUUUUUUUUGUUUAAAAAAAAUUAGUAUGUUUUUCGUUGCUGGUCAACUAAUCAACAAUUUUAUGAUUAUUAAGGUAACAAAGGAGAUCUUUGCGCGGAUUGAUGGUACUGAUACAAUCAAUAAUUUUGUUUACCUACGUAUGGAUCAAUAGAAUUGUUGUGCUAUUACACGGUCUCAAUGGUGGAAUGAGCCGCCAUAUCCAAGCAAUUUUGGGUGGUGACAGACGGGGUCUGUCUUUUUAUCGAUUCAAAUAAUUUUUAGCAUGCUUUCUUUAUUUUUGUUUUUCUCCUUCUCGUGAGGUUUGGCAUGUCCCCCUCAUUCUGUUUGCUUUUCCUUUUAUUAAUGAAAUCUCCACGCGAGUCUUUCCAAGAAAAAAAGAUCAAUAAAAUUGUUGGCGCACUCUCUUAGUUGUAUGGAGAUCAUGGCUAACGAAAAAUGUGUCUCUUGGUUGUAAGAUCAGCAUUAAUGAAAAAAAUUGUUGAAAUA